ACUCUCUGAGAUCUGUCAGGAAAUAAUUAUCAAAUCCCUCUACAUUUUGUAAGUGUGACAGCAGCACCUUGUGACUGAUAUUCUCAGACACUGCUGAGGCUAUGGACUCAUAAGCAUGAGCCUAGGUGUUUGUACCUUGUCCAUGGCCAGGAAAAGGUCAUAUAUCAUCACCGCUAGGGCUGUUUCCAUGCUGUAGCUCAAUUUAAAAUUACAAUUAUGAGGGGCCCAGAUCAUCUGAAAGAUUACAUGCUGUCAUAGCUUGGACACCAUUAUCUUCCAAGUGAACACACCUAUAAUGUAGAAACUGGCAACAGUGAAUUUAAAGCUCGUGAAAGGCUCUAGACUGACUGCCUUGAAGACUGGAGUCAUUAUCCGCAGAACCAAUAGAGCACAGGAAGCAGCAGUGGAAAUUUGGGGUGAAUUUGCAAAGGUGUUCCUCCUCCUCCCACUGACUGCCAGAGUUGAAUGCCUGACCACAUUCCCUUUGUGUGACUUCAGUUCCAAGCCAGAUUUCAAAGUGACCAAUACAGAAUCUGUGCUUUUGAGAGGACUUCAUGGUGAGAGACAACAUACAUCAAAGUUCAGCCUGGGAGCUUGUUGCAGAUGAUUUCACAACAGCAACAGCAGAUGAUGAGACAGCUCUUUGUUGGGGUGUAACAGAGCUCUUCACUGAAGCCACAGCAACAGAGCUGAGUGAACUCUGACGGCUGCCCUGCUAUCAUGCUGCUUGGGCUAUGGAACUUGCGUGCUGGUAGGAGAAUCCCACUCAGGAUCACAGAUCUCCUUUGACCCUAUGCUGCUGUUCACUGGGUGUCAAUGGAAGGGUGGAAGUUGAAGGACGCUCUCCCUAAACAGGUGUCUGAUUACAUGAACAAGCAGUGUAACCCAGCUGCAUUAAUAACCCACACUUUGCCUCAAUGAAGGAUUUGAACUGCUGUGAGCAGGGAAAAGUAUUCACAGCAUCCUGUUGUUUUAAGCCCUGGAGUUAUGAAGAGUAGGAUGUGAGCAGCACAGUGCUUCUCCUCCAGAAUCAUCUGUCUGACUCCUUCCCCUUAGUCAAAACUUUUAUUAGUGUGUAGAUUUUACAAUCUUUGCUUCUAGAUCUCUGUAAAUAGGGUUUAUCUGGACCUGGAAACAUCUGAAUAGAUUCAUUUUUGUUUUGGAUUAAGAAUUCAAACCUCCGUCCAUAGCUUCAAGGUGUGUGAAAGAGAGCAGGGCAUGUAGGAAUGGUUAUCCUGGAGAUGGGUCCACUUCCAAGUUAUUCAGAAUUAAACUAAAUUAACCAUUCCAUCAAGUAAUUACUAUAGCUCUCAUGGAACCUCUCCCAGUAUGCUCCUCAGGUCCAUUGUCUGCCUUCUUGUAGUUGCUUUUGAAUCAAGGCUUCUCUGCCCUCUUUCUGGAAUCCACAAUUUGGUCAAGAGCAAGUACCAACCAAGCUGCAACCAACAGCACAUAAUUGAGUGUGAUACACAGAGGGCUUCUACUGAAACAAAGAUGAAAUCUGAGAAGACAUUUAUCAGGUGGAAAGAGGAACACUUUU